AUCGCUUCUCGGUUUUUAUGGCUAAGAUCAAGUGUAGUAUCUGUUCUUAUCAGUUUAAUAUCUGAUAUGUUCUCUACCCGAGAACAACGUAUUAAGCGGGUUUUUAGAGCAGGGAGUUGGAAUAUGAAGCUUGCUCCGUUCUCUCCAUGCAUCCACCUGAUAAUGCAGUAUUUCCAGGAACGGUGCAUUUUCU